rnacentral:rRNA from 1 species
UAGGGAAUCUUCGGCAAUGGACGGAAGUCUGACCGAGCGAUGCCGCGUGAGCGAAGAAGGUCUUCGGAUCGUAAAGCUCUGUUAUGAGGGAAGAAGGACGUAGGCAGGCAAUGGCCUACGGGUGACGGUACCUCAUGAGGAAGCCACGGCUAACUACGUGCCAGCAGCCGCGGUAAUACGUAGGUGGCGAGCGUUGUCCGGAAUUAUUGGGCGUAAAGGGUGCGUAGGCGGUCCGUUAAGUCUAGUUUGAAAGACCACGGCUUAACCGUGGGAGGGGAUUAGAAACUGGCGGACUUGAGGGUAAGAGAGGAAGGUGGAAUUCCACGUGUAGCGGUGAAAUGCGUAGAGAUGUGGAGGAACACCAGUGGCGAAGGCGGCCUUCUGGCUUACCCCUGACGCUGAGGCACGAAAGCGUGGGGAGCAAACAGG